rnacentral:snoRNA from 1 species
UGAUGAUGGUGAGGGAAGUUUUUGAGCAUACCCUUAAAUCUCUCACAAGCUUGGCAAAGAUUCUCUUCAUUUUUCUAUCUAAAACUCAAGAUUUCACUCCUCAAGUA